rnacentral:rRNA from 1 species
UACGGGGGGAGCAAGCGUUGUUCGGAUUUACUGGGCGUAAAGGGCGCGUAGGCGGUCAGUGCAAGUCAGUUGUGAAAUCUCUGGGCUUAACCCAGAACGGUCAACUGAUACUGCUCGACUAGAGUGCAGAAGGGGCAACUGGAAUUCUCGGUGUAGCGGUGAAAUGCGUAGAUAUCGAGAGGAACACCUGCGGCGAAGGCGGGUUGCUGGGCUGACACUGACGCUGAGGCGCGAAAGCUAGGGGAGCGAACGGG